rnacentral:lncRNA from 1 species
ACACUUGCAGGCAGAGGUAUAACAGGACCAACUUUCCCAGGAUGUCCUGAGACCUAUCAACAACAGUUUCAGCAAUCCGAGCAAGACCAACAAUUGGAAGGCCAAAGCCAAAGCCAUAAAUUUAGAGAUGAACAUCAAAAGAUCCACCGUUUUCAACAGGGGGAUGUAGUUGCAUUGCCUGCUGGUGUUGCUCAUUGGUGCUACAAUGAUGGUGAUGCACCAAUUGUUGCCAUAUAUGUCACUGAUAUAUACAAUAGUGCUAACCAACUUGAUCCUAGACACAGGGUAAUUCAUCGUAUAUUAUCUAUAGUCAUUACCCUAAGUAUUCCAAUCAUUUAUUUGAUUUAUUGGGCAACUCUCUUUUGACAUACUAAUUGUUUGUUUAUGGAUUGUUAGGAUUUCUUUUUAGCUGGCAACAAUAAGAUAGGUCAACAAUUGUAUAGAUAUGAGGCAAGGGACAAUUCGAAGAACGUCUUUGGUGGAUUUAGUGUUGAACUACUUAGCGAGGCUCUUGGCAUAAGCAGUGGAGUAGCAAGACAACUCCAGUGCCAAAAUGACCAAAGAGGAGAAAUAGUUCGUGUUGAGCAUGGGCUUUCCUUGCUCCAACCAUAUGCAUCGUUGCAAGAGCAACAACAAGAACAGGUGCAAUCGAGAGACUAUGGCCAAACACAAUAUCAACAAAAACAACUUCAAGGUAGUUGCUCUAAUGGUUUGGAUGAGACCUUUUGUACCAUGAGGGUAAGGCAAAAUAUCGACAACCCAAACCUCGCAGAUACAUACAACCCCAGAGCAGGAAGGAUCACAUAUCUAAAUGGCCAAAAGUUCCCCAUUCUUAAUCUUGUACAGAUGAGUGCCGUUAAAGUAAAUUUAUAUCAGGUAAAACCACAUGACAUUUUAUCCUCAUGAAAGAAAAUAUUUUGAAAAUUAUGCUGACAAUGUUCUCUCUAUUGCAGAACGCACUCCUUUCACCUUUUUGGAACAUCAACGCUCAUAGUGUCGUGUAUAUUACUCAAGGUCGUGCCCGAGUUCAAGUCGUCAACAACAAUGGAAAGACAGUGUUCGAUGGAGAGCUCCGUCGUGGGCAGCUUCUAAUUAUACCACAACACCAUGUAGUCAUUAAAAAGGCACAAAGGGAAGGAUGCUCAUAUAUUGCAUUGAAAACCAACCCUGACUCCAUGGUUAGCCACAUGGCAGGAAAGAAUUCCAUCUUCCGCGCACUUCCUGACGAUGUUGUAGCAAAUGCAUAUCGUAUCUCAAGAGAAGAAGCUAGGAGGCUCAAGCACAACAGGGGAGAUGAGUUAGGUGUGUUCACUCCUAGUCAUGCCUACAAGAGCUACCAAGACAUAUCUGUGAGUGCAUAACCAAGAAAUGUCAAUCAUAGGCUUGGAUUGCUAAGGAUGGUUUUCAAAUAAAUCAUAAGCAAUAAAAGAGUGCAUGUUGUUGCAGCUAUGUAAUAGUGGAUGGUUGGAAGAAUAAUAAUAAAUUUGUGUUCCUUUAAGUAACUAUAUUAAAUAUGAGAGAAAAAUUAAGAAAUGCCAUCAACAAGCAUCUAGAGUACACGUUUUGUCAUUGAUCACUAUGGUUUGGAUGUAUGACCACGUGCACGCAGACGUGACAUGAUCACAGACGACACCUUGGUGGUCGGCUCGACGCUACGCCACAGCACUGUCCAGCAAAGUUGCCGCCUCAACUGCGCCGGAUGGCAAGAAUCAUCAGAGCGACCAAGCGAGGUCAUGCAAUGGCACUGUGUGCACCCAUUCCUCUCGACCUACGCCGCACUCUCUCUCAAGUGCAUCUAGGAGCGAGGCAAACGGUGUUUAGCGAAUAGCGAGUCGAGGAGUUUAUUGGUGGGAUAGCACCAGGGCGGGCUGCGAUCGAUGGCGCGGAGCCGCGAGGACAAUGGAGUUUUGGAGAGUAGAUGAUUGGGACGGCAGGGGGCGUUCAUGCGCCGCGCAAGCGUGUGGCCGUUUGCCCGGGGAGAAUGGCUACACCCCUAAAGCACGAAUACCACUUGCAUGCCUCCAGUUAAACAAGCUUACGUAUUGACUUGCAUAUCUUCUUACAUUUUUAUUUUACAUUCAAUACCUACAGGGUUGAUUGCCUAUCCCUACAAGAGCUUGUUAAUCAACCAUCAGAAUUGGGCAGGAUUGAAUGAUUACUUGAAGAGGUUUAUGGAUGAAUGAGAUCACGCUGAGGUUUUCAUUCACUUCCAUUGGAGGAUGCCGAUUGAUCUACUGCUUUCCAAUAAUGUUUUUGAAGCUUGUACCUUUUUUGUCAAACUUUUACUCCAUAUGCAAGCAGUGAACACAUCAAGUCUCUGAUUAAUGAUAUUAAGAAUAGCUUCAGUUCUACUAGGUAACAUUACCUAUUGUGUCAUUGUCCAAUUGUUGCAUUAAUCGUAUCAAAUACCAUACCUUUGUUGCUUGAUGAAAUAUAUAGCUUCUCUAUAUCAUUUAAGAUCCAUUAUAAUGAUUAGAUGAUCUUCCUUUCUCCAACACAGUUGGCUUGAUCAUUUUUUUCAACCAUAAUUUGCAUAUGUCUCUUGUCACAUUGCUUAAAACUUCUUAAAGUAGCACUAUAACUAUCUCGCCUUCAUUUGCAGCCAAUAUCUCCUUUACGUACUAAACUGCUUAUUUGUGAACUUAUUGUGAUUUUUUUUGACCGGGGAACUUAUUGUGAUUUGGGAAGUGAUUGUUUGAAGUUUUUCUUUUCAGAUCUCUAGAGCACCCGAACAACAUGAUGAACUUGAUAAAAGAUUAUUGUGGGCUGAACUUUCCAAAACAAGUAGGGUAAGUGUGGAUCAUUUUUAGCAAGUCAUAACAUUGCUAAAUAUAAUAUCUGAUUAUUGUAAUCGUCUAGGCAUGAGAAUCAAGGACAUAGCAAAUUGUGGUCAAUUGUCUGAAAUUAGAUCGUCAAGAGAAGAAGGUCAAAUUCCAUUGCUUGCUUUGUGGAAAUGAAGGCUGGACUUACCCAAACACAAGAUAUCUACAACAUCACCUAACAAAUCAAUGUCCAAAGAUUACCGAUAGUGUACGUCAACGACUUGCUGCGUGGAAUGCUUCCAAAGUGAACCAAAAAUAGAAAUCCAAAAGACAAACACAGUGUUGGCCCUAAAACUAGGAUAAAAGAACAUAAGGUGUAUGAACUAAAGUAUUUUUCACAUAUUACAAGGCAAGACACCAUUUACAUAGGGGUAUAUGUCCUUUUAUAGGACUUUUAGGUCGGUUUCUACAUCAACCAACAUGCUACAAUACUCAAAACAGCUAAAUAUCACUAGCUAGUAGUCAAUUUCUAGUUCUCUUGUACAACUUCAACUUUACAACUAAGCAAUAACCCAACUAUAGCUAAUUCUCUAGAUGCAUCAUGUUCUUUACAACUCAUGGGACAAUCCAAUUUGAUUUCGUUAUCUCAAGAACACAAAUUAAUUCCAACACACAGUUGCUUGAUGACAAUACAACCGGUAUGUUAAAUUUGCACCCAUUUAGCGUAAUCUUGUCAAUUAGUUUUGGAUUGCAAUGGAUAUAUUUUCAUAUCAUAUAGGUACGAAUGAGUUGAAUGUUGUUAGUUCCCAACAUGGAGAACAAUUGAAUGCAAAAGAUCAAGAUGAACUGCAAAACAUCAAGGAGAAGGUAAGGUUUGCUUAUUAGCUAGUUAUACAUUGAUGGUUUUUUAUUUUUGUGUCUAUGUUUCCUACCGGUUAGGAGCUAGUUUACGGCCUGUUUUUUUUAAAAGGGAACACAAAAGCAUUCCAUUAUGAAGACAUACUGGCUGCAGCUAUUGAGUUUGUACAAACUCAGGGAAAUGGCUUGCAAUAACUUCUCUGUUCACCACUGAAUUUUGCUACAAGCCUUCUUUCUUUAAUGUACUGAAAGUUUUUGAAUUUCUCUUCCCAAUAUAAGCUGGUAGUCUAAAAUAUCUCCAUUUUAAUCCUUCAACUGAGAUGUGUAAAAUAUCCAUUACUUCACUUUGUUGCCACUAUUCUGUGUUAAUGUUGAAAAGGAUAGUUAAUUUAUCUUUAUUUAUCACUUGUCCAGAACAUGCUUCGUAUUUAUCUAGUACUAGAAUUUGGGUGUGCCAUUUGGUGCGCUGGCUAAGUAACUCGUGCAUAUUGUUUAGGUUAUUUGAAACCUACAAAUCCAAAUUUUUUUAUGGAUAUUAUUUUUAACCAUACACUCAAAAUGCCCCUUGACACAAUAUUUGAAUUAAGGAUUUUAAUUCAAAAUUUUAUUUGUAAUAACAAAAGGUACAAUUUUAAAUGUUUUACACCUGUUUUUUAAAACCAAUGCAUGUCUAGCUCUAGCAUCCUAGCUACUUCCCUUCACUGCCUUCCCAAACAUGACCAAAUUAAGUAUGUAUGCAAGAAUGGGAGCAUUUUAUAAAGGUUGAGCUUGAAUUGAGCCAUGGCAUGGUUGGGUCAUUGGAGUCAUGCAUGUCUGAUGUACUGAUAUCAAGAUCUCGAUAUGAUACUUGAGUUCCACUCUAUGCGAUCUGGGGAGGGUGCUUGGAAGUGCGUGCGGAGGCGAGGUUGGUGAAGGAUGGCAGAGGUGCAGUGAGAGCUAGUUAGCCGGCCCCGCUUAGGGGAGGGUGUGGUUCUGAGCUGCUAGGAUGUCGUGAUGACUGCAAUUGGCGGGCCUGAUCUGUGUGGAGAAACAAGGGGAAGCUGAUUGCGCUAGGAAGUUCUCUUUGAACUCCGCGAUCACCAGGUAUGGAAGCUGCUAGGGGAAAAGGAAGAGCUUGAACUCAGCAGUCUAAGCCAUGACUUCCGUCGCUUGAAUCUAGAACCGAAGGAAAUCGUGGUGGCGACCUUCUCCAGCUCACACAAUCUUUGGAUCUGCUUUCAUCAAUCCGGCGUUGUUAAACCGUCCAUCCAUUGUUUCUAUGUUCUAGUGGUCCUCUUCGACACGAGGAGGAGGAUCCAAAUGAUGAAAAUGAGAAGGGGCACCACCGAGUCGCCCACACCGGUCAUGACAGUGAGGAGCACCCAUGUUUUAGUUGGUAGGUUGAUUUUUCUAGAUAUUAUGUGUUUUUUAUCCUCUUUCCUGUUAGGUGUUGGUGAAUUUUAUCUCUUUUUUUCACCAAUGUGUCGAUAACCUGCACCUCUGCAAGUCUCGAUAGUUCUUUGUUUUUAUUUUCUGUUUUCUAGAUUUUUUUUGACACAUCCUUAACCAUAGCAGCCAUAGCUAGUAAUUGAAAAGAACAUAGCCAUAAUUUAAUAUCUUCUAGAUAUUUGGUAUAUGUAAACUUUCAGGUUAAUAUUCUUCGUAUUUGAAGUUCAGUGUUAAUAAUAUAUAACAUUUUAUAUGCAGUUAACAUCAACUAAGUUUUUAUUCUAUUGUAUCUACUUUUAUUGUAGUUAGGAUCAAGUUUGACAUGUUUUGCCCUAGAUACUGGGAACAUGCAAUCUUUAUUGAGUAUUCUUAAUAGUACAAAUUCUUUGUGAGUAACAUAUAAUCUAGCAACUGCUAAGGGAUGUAUAUUUGAUCUAAUGAUUGCUCAUAACAUUGGUGGGUCCGUGGAGAUGACCUGAUAUGCAAAAUGAUCAAGGAAUGCUUUGAUAGUAUUAAUCAAUCAACUGAACAAAUGAAUCGUAAGUAACUUGCGUUAUACUUUUCUGCUUCUACAAUGCAUUAUUUGACUGCUGUGGCUGUUUAAUUGUAACUUGAUUUGUGCUCAUAUGUAGUUCAUGCCCAAUGUGCAUAUUUGUAGUUGCAUUGUGCUAAUUUACAUAUGUGAUUUUGCUAGUACCUUCUCUGAUCGUUAUGUUAACUGCAAUUAAUGUUUCAAUUCUAUGUUUGUCGACCAAUAAACAACAAUAUCUCAAUGAUCUUAUUGCAAAGUACAGCUUGCCAAAAUGAGUUUUCAUCCUUGGAUUCUCUUGAUCAACAUCAUGCAGGAGCUUUAGCCACAGAGAUUGCUCCUCAUCAAUCUUCUAAUGAGCCUAGAGAAGUACCAACUGAAGUAGAGCAUAAUAUGCUUUCUAAUGUAGAAGCACCAGUUCUAGCCCAAGUUGUAGAAAAUAUCUUUCAAAAUGAAGAAAUAAUAGCAUCAACUGAAGAAACCACCACUACUUGACCUGCUGAGCAGGAUAGGGGUACAACAGAUUUAGGUCUUGAUAGUUUCUGGCCGUGAUUUUGCUAGCAAUGUUAAAGAAAUUGUGUGAUGUCAUAGCUAAUCCAUUGAUCCGCUGAGGAAAGAACUGUUCUAGCCAUGAUUCUGGCAGUAAUGUUAAAGAAAUUAUGUGGUGUGAUAGCUAGUCCAUCGGUCUAUGUUGACGGUCGUUACCGACAAAUUCCGACUGUCAAUAUAACUAAAAUAAUGGAGAACUAGCUAUGCUUACAAUGCAUCUUUAUUUCUAAAUAAUAUAUUUCCACUUGUACUUGGAGAAUAACAUGUUGCAGGAAUUUAUCAAAUAAAAUAAAGAGAAAAGUGAAGAAACCUCACUCCUAAGCAAGGAAAUGGAUAAGGAGGGCCCACAUGUCAGGUGUAACCGUCCGGAAACCGCCUUAACUGUCAAAACCGACAAUACGACCCACCUGUCAGCCACUAUACCGAAGGGGAGGUCGGUUGGAGCCAACCCUGGUUCGACCGAACCAGGGGCAAAUCGGCUCGCCCCCCCCUCCCCCCCUUACCAUGGACGUCCAGGAUGCGCUGUUGAUGGCUGUUACGAGGGUAAAAUGGACACUUUGCAUGGAGUAACCGUCAUACCGGGCCUAUAAAAGGAGCUCACUUCACUUCCAAAACACACUCAAGCAAGCUAAUUCCUCUUCAUAUUUUAGUAUUAGUAGUAUAUUGCUAAGUGGAGUAGUAUAGAAUAGUGUUUAGAAGUCCUCAAAGUCUUCGGAAGAGUUUUCGGUAUGGCUCUAGCCGCUCCUGUAAUCUCUUCUGUAAUACUUUCCGAAUUAAUGAAGUAUUCUUCUUUAUAUAUCUUCAGUACUUUACUUAGUUUGAGUACUAGUCUUACUUUAUAUCUGCUCUAUGUUAAUUGUGUGGGUAGCCUACCAGAGAGGUGUAAUGGUGCGGAUUUAAUGUCUGAAUUAUCAAUCACUCUAUGUCGGGCAUGCGGGUAUAGAGUAGUAUUUAAUAAUGUAAGCGUGGUGCUUAGAUUAUUAAGUAUCAUUAAUUGGGCAUAUAUACUACGAGACAGUAGAGGUGAGCCGCUAAUGGUGACAGCUCAGUACGGAUAUUCCUCCAUGUUAGUAUAUAUAGGGGUGGGCAUUCGGUCAGACCAAAAAAUUCGGUCUCGGUCUUCGGUUUUUCGGUUAGUUCGGUCUUUGCAAACUUAGGACCGAAUUUCAUCCAAAAAAACUCAAGACCGGCAAAUUCGGUCUCGGUCUUUUCGGUCUCGGUCUCGGUCUGACCGAAAUUUUUGAGGAUAAAGUUUGGAACGAAAAAAUUUGACAGAGGCGUCGCCGGCGCGGUGAAGGGCGGAGGCGUCGACUGCGGCGCGGUGGAGGACGGCGUCGGCCGCUGCACGAUGGAGGACGGCGGCGUCAGCCGCGGCGCGGUAGAGGACGGCGGUGGCGGCCGCGCGGUGGAGGACGGCGUCGGCCGCGGCGCGGUGGAGGACGGCGUCGUCGGCCGCGGCAUGGUGGAGGACGGCGGCGGCGGCCGCGCGGUGGAGGCAGAGGCGGCGGCCGCGGCACGGUGUAGGGUGGAGGCGGGCCGCAGCGCGGUGGAGGGUGGAAGCGGCGGCCGCGCGGGAGAGGGCGGAGGCGACGGACGCGCGGUGGAGGGCGGAGCCGGCGGCGGCGACGCGGUGGAGGCUAGAGGAGGCGGCGGCACGGUGGGGGCGGAGCCGGCGGUGGGGGCUGGAGGAGGCGGCGCGGAGGGGUUAGAGGAGGAGGCGGCGCUGUGCGGCAGUGAUGGUAGGGUUUGUUUUAGGGUUUCUUUUAGUGGGCUUAUUGGGCUUCCUAGGCCUAUUGGGCCAAAAUUUCGGUCAUUUCGGUUAAUUCGGUUAACCGAGCCCAAUAACCGAAAUGACCGAAAUAAAUUCGAUCUUCUGAGGGCUGAGACCGAACAGGUAACCGAAUUUCUCGGUAUUGGUCUUUUCGGUCUCGGUCUCGGUCUUUUCGGUUCGGUCUAAAUAUGCCCACCCCUAAGUAUAUAUAUUCCUAAUCAAAUUCUUGGGGAGGGUACUCCGUAUUUAGCCCCGGUUGGACGGCAAUGACAGGUUGUCGUAAGAAACUCAGCAACCCGGGGUGGUCUCUCGAAGUACCAGGAGGACACUGUUAGGGGGUAUUGGCCACACGAUUGUACAUUAGCAGAUGUAAGUUAGGAUUUGAGUGUAUACUAGAAGUAUAGGAAUUGAGUGCUUUCUAUUUCUCUUCCACUUAGUUAUAAUUAUUUUGUUAUGAGGAUUGAAUAGCUUUGCUUCGUGUCACUCUACCCUUAUAUUAUAUUUAACCCCUAUUUAGGCUCUAACAAUUAUAAGUAAUAUAUGUAUAAAGUGCAUUAGUAAAGUUCACUCUUAUUAUCUUCCCUUGGGAUUAAAAAUACGAUACAUUCGAAUACUUCCAAGUGAAAUGCUACAAUGGUAUAUAUGUGCGCUUGCGGAUUAAUUCUAUAACCAUAAAUAAUAGGAUCAUUUCUGGCGCCAUUGCUAGAAUGCAUAUUUCUAGUAAUGUCGUUGAGAAAUACCACCAGUCUGACAAGAAAAAAUAAACUUGUGUUACUGUUACACUAUCAUAAAAGGAAACUGAUUAACAAUUAAGAACAAUUAAGCUCUUAGCGUUCCAUGCAUCCUAUGCAACUAUACAAGUAAUGCUUAUUUUUCAGUCACAAGGUGAUCCACCAUUUGGUUUUGUGUUUCUUGAUUUUGUCUGUCUUUCUUGGCUCCUUGCUUCUAAUCUGUGUCAUUCAUCCUUGCCGGGUGAAUCCAGCCUAUCACACUCAACCAACCCAACCCAUCUGAUUUGUUCCCAUCCGACGAUGCAUGCGACCCAUGCAACACUAUGUAACAAUUCACGCUGCAUAUUAUUGAUCCCUUUCAAUGUUGCACGCAUGUGAAUCCUCCGGCUCCCACUAAAUUCAUUUGUUUGAUUACCUCCCACUUUGCCAGAAAUUGUUGGUUCCCUCAUAAUUUCAUCCUGCACUCUGCAGAAACUCCUCCUAAAUAGUCCUACCGAUUACUGAACUGCCAUUAUAUCCAGCUUCCGAUUAGAUUAAAUGGCGAUUUGGGCACUAUAAAACAUUGCAAUCCUCUCUUCAAGUCCCUCCAACUCCACAAUUCCUUGCACAAAGUUAUGGUCAUGAGAUGCGAUUUGGGCACUAUAAACCACUGCAAUCCUCUCUUCAAGUCCCUCCAUUAACUCCAUAAUUCCUUGCACAAAGUGAUGGUGUUAACAACAAAAUUUGGCAAGCCCGAAGUCAUCAUCGGCCUAGAGUCAGUAUCGGCUUCAGAGUCUUGGAAUCGGCCGAUGGGAGUCAUCAAAUCGCCUGCAGUUGUGUUCUUGGUGGAGUCAGAUCAAUUAAAGGAAAUUUAUCCAGAAGAGUCCGAGUUCAAGGAGGAUGCGACAUGGCAAGUUAUCUAUUAAUUAGGAAUAGUUUGUUAGUUUCCUUUUAUCUUUAGGAAAGUGUGUUUAGUGUCCAACAAGGACUUUAUGUUUUUCUUUUAUCUUUAGAAAAGUUUAUUUCUUGUCCGACAAGGACUAUUAUCUCCCCAUGGGUAUAAAUAUGUACACCUAGGGUCAUUGUAAAAUAUCUCUCGAUCAAUCCAACUACUCUCGGUGUAUCGCCCUCUAUUCUGAGGUUUUACUUAUCAACCGGCGGAAUUUGUCACCUGACGCGGGGCUGCAUCGGUUCAGUUCGAUCUCCGGUGAAGGGGUAAGUCCUACGUUCUACCAGCCCUGGUGAAUCUAUCGGUUACGUUGGUGUUGUUUAAGGUUGCAUCGCUUCGAUCUCUUGGAUCGCUCUGGUUUGGUUGAUACAUUUGCUUACCAAAUAUCUCAAUUCUAUCUCUAGUUGCAUUGUGUUUAGAGACGCAUCAGUUUAGUUGGGAUUGUCUCGGUUAGGUCCGACCUUCUGCCUUAGCCGAUAUAUCUCUACAAUCACAAUGCUGUUAUAAAUAGAUUUGUUAUAUCCAUCACAUUAGAUAGAUCUAUCAGCUCAUCGAGUAUUAGAUUAUCAUAUACAAUCUCGUGCUGCAACGGUUAGGUUCGACCUACUAUAUUGUUGUUGAUAAUAUAAGUCUUGUUAAGCCGAUAGGUUCAUGCUAAUGUUUUCUUGGGGUGCUAGCCGAUAAGUUAUCUAGACGUUGCAUCGGCUUAUAAGGAUAGCAUAUACAUAUAAGUUGGAUUUAGCCGAUGACAACAGAGGUUUCAUUGGUCUAUCUAAUCUUGUGGAUUUUAUGACAUCGGACCUCCAACUGAUGUAUGCUUUAACCUUCGGAUCAGUGCUUAUUCUAUCAUAUCAUUGCUAGCCAAUUGGUUUCUACUGGAUUAUAUUAUUGUUAUACUAUACUAUCAUCAGCCGAUUGCUUAAAUCCUAUCGCUAUCGGCUGGUAUCGGCAUCGGCUAUUGGCUGGAAUUACCUCAUCGGCUUGUUAGACGAUCGGCUAUUUGAUCUACUAUUUACAUAUCUUGUCAGUUGCAGGAUCAAGACUAGCACGCCCGCAUCUCACCAAACUUUGGACCUGCACUAGAGCUAAGCAGAUCUCCCAGGCCAGUGUGUGUUUUUCGCAUCAACAGAUGGUCACGAGAUGCCCGAUCUUCCAUCAAGUGAAGAUAACUAUCAAUUUGGUGAAAACUUGACACACACGAUUUGGCUUCCGAUCAACACGAUCUAAACCCUGAAAUCGCAGCACCACGUCUCCGAAAUCCCGAUUGACCUCACUGAGAAGGAUAAUCCCUGUGUGUGAAUCGAAGAACACAAGCAAGAAAAGGAAAGAUAGUAACUCAAUUGCAUGAAUGAUUAAUCAACAACUCGAAGUUGGGGUUAUACAAACUAAACUAGGGUCGGUUUUUGCUUGUCCUUUUACUGCCUUGGCCGAUUCAUACCUUAAAUCAAACCUAGGCAAAGCAAAAAUCCAUUUCCCAACCCUUCCCUUUAGAACAUGAGCCGAUAGCCAGUAGACCCUUUUUUCGCUCUUGAAAUGGAUGAUCUUGUCAAAAGGCUUCUAGUUGAUAAAGCCCUUGGCCUAGAUGGUUUUAAUGGUUGUUUUAUAAAAAAUUGCUGGCCAAUUAUAGCCUAAUAUUUUUACAGAUUGGCUGCUCAUUUCCACGCUAAGUUGGUAGAACUUCAGUGCAUCAAUUCUUCUUAUAUUACUCUUAUGCCAAAGAAGGUUAACCCAGAACAUGUUAAUGAUUUUAGGCCAAUUUCUCUUAUGAGUAUCAGCCUAAAAUUUUUGACUAUGUUAAUGGCUGAUAGGCUUCAAGGAGUAAUUAAGAAAAUUGUGCAUGAAAAUCAAUAUGGUUUUAUUAAAGGGAGGACAAUUCAAGACAGCUUAG